rnacentral:tRNA from 1 species
GGUGGCUCAGUGGCAGAGCACUUGCCUCACAUGCAUGAAGCCCUGGGUUCCAUUCCUCAGCACCA